UACGUCCGACCGAACAGGCGGGAAAGGCCGGGGGGGCCGCGGGGAGCCAGGAAGGGGGCGUGCGAACACGCGUCUGCAACCCCACGUAACCGAAGACCAAGGAAACGGGGCCUCGAGCCACACAGGCGCGCUUACUCCCAAGGCCAUUUGACUGGACUUUGCUGGAAGACCCGACCUUCAGUGCUUAGACUCCCUGGGUCAGGCUUAUCCAAAGCCAUCCAGGAGGGGCAUUUCCAUCAGAAAAGCUGUGGGAGGUAAAGAAACAGAGCAUGUGUGCAGAGAUGCUGUUAUACCUUGGGACUGGGGAAUGCUGGUUUUCGAGCACAGUAUGGAAAGCAGCGGUUUGAUCCAUUCAAGAGAUCUGGCUCCCCACAAGACCCGCUAUAAGCCACCAGGCUCACCUAUACACAAGAAUUUGUACUUCAAGACACGUAAAUACGCACUAAGGACUCUACCCAGGAUCAUGCCAAGCCGCUGUUCACGUAGCGCCUGGGCUGGCCCCCACAAUGCCGUCCACGGUACCACGGCUGUUUGGAUACACAAGUCAUCGCAGCGGUAAGAUCUCCUUCGCAGCGCUCCAGCUGUAACUCACGCUGAUGGGUUUGGGUUGGGGUGUAUGAUCCCUGUGAGCUGAAACAUGGGGAAAGAAAAGGGAAACAAUCUGUUCAACACCCGAAUAAGCAACGGUGUUGCUAUGUUGCUAAUUAUAUUCUGUUCUUGUACGACAGAAUGCUGCGCAACAGGGAUGUGUGGUACCAGAAAUAAAAAGGUGUGUCAGCCACAUACUUGCAUUUAAAAUUACUACUGGUUUCUGCCUCAAGGAAUGCGACGUUUUAUUACCUCUGAUGCUUGCAUACCAUUCAGCUGCAAUUAUCUUGUCCGGAAAAGCGGAAGGCAGCUGUA